GACGUAGGAUGCGAGCGUUGUCCGGAUUUAUUGGGCGUAAAGAGCUCGUAGGCGGUCUGUCGCGUCGGCUGUGAAAGUCAGGGGCUCAACCCUUGAAAGCCGGCCGAUACUGUCGGACUAGAGUCCGGAAGAGGCAAGUGGAAUUCCCGGUGUAGCGGUGAAAUGCGCAGAUAUCGGGAGGAACACCAAUGGCGAAGGCAGCUUGCUGGGACGGUACUGACGCUGAGGCGCGAAAGCGUGGGGAGCAAACAGG
rnacentral:rRNA from 1 species